CACCCUCAACUCCAUCAUUAUCACCACCGCCAGCAUCAUCAUCACCUCUAUCAACACCACCACCACCACCACCAUCACCCCAUCUUCAUCAUCAUCAGUGGCAGCUUUGGUCAUCAUACAAAUACUAGGCUGUCUCCAUCAACAAAUAAUUAUGCUAACACAUGAUAAAUGCUCUAACAGACACAGGUCAGACUUCCGGAAGCCUUUACAUGCACAAAGAAAUAAGGCUGCUAACAUAGUUGCCACCCAGUCAUCAACACCACUUUGUCAUCAAUUUUUAAGAAGUUUGGCACAGAACAGAUUACACCAAACCCACAGAGGAAGACAGGCUGGUGGAGCCAACUCUUCUCUACUCCACCCCAGCCGACCCCUCAGCAAAACACAUCUGGUGAAAGAUGCAGGAAGCAAAACAAAA